UCUUUGCUGCCUGACCCACAUGAUUUGAACAGCUGUCCUCCACCAAGCCCUUCCACCUCGCCCUGCCUGUCUCAGAGCCAGCUGCCUUUGGAGUGACUCUUCUAGAAACCAUGGGCCAAAAUAACCCUCUUCCCCUUUAAGUGAAAUGGGAAAAAUUGCAGUUCACCUACUUAGAUCCCUAGGAAUAUGUACUGAUACAUAUGAAAAUCUUCAUAAUUCCAGAAGCAAGAACAGGACCCCAUAAACUCCAUGAGCAUGCAGCUGGAUGAUCUGUGCUGGGGAGAUCCCCUCCCACUCCAGCCACUGAGAUAAUGCCAACAGCUAAGGCACUUCUACCCAUAAAAGGAAGGAGAAGAUUGUACGUGAGAGAUGCAGCGCCUGCACCUCUGUCUGUCUCUCUUUUUGCACACACACACACACACACACACACACACACACACACACACACACACUCGCACUCACACACACACACUCAAGUAAACACAGCAGUCAUUUGUAGCAUACUUAUUUUCAUCUUCCACAAAGUGUCCCUGAAGUUCAAGGUUGGAAUACUCAUGUUGGAAAUACCCUUCCCAUUACUGAGCUGAUAAGACAGGUAUGGAAGAUAACCAUUACGACUGUGUGAAAAGAUUUCCAGGAAACUCCUCAGUGAUGCCCAGCCCUCCAUGAAGCCUGGAGGGAUGACGUGGAGGACCACAGAUGACCUGCACUCUGAAUUCUAAGGGAAGCAAACCAGAGGGCCACUGAAUUGUCCACGAUCUUCACACUCUGGUCUGACUCAUUCUUGUCACUUGUCACUCAACAUGGGUCUGAUGUAGCAGUCCCAGCUUGGACCCAAGAAUCUCCUUUUUGUCUGGUAGUUUUGCUUCCUACCAGGCAAGUUUGGGAAAUAUAGAGGACCACGAAGUCCUUGGAGCUGACCAAGUUCAAGAUGGAGAAACCUAGAUCACCAAACGACCAAAUGGGGCAGAACUAGCUCACCAACCUAACCACCUUCCCAGAAGAUCUAAUUUAAAAAGAUUCAAGCAACAGAUGCCCACGAAGACUUCUCUGUUAACCCAGGAGUAUCUGCUCUGCUCGAAGAUGAGACCCAGAUGUUGUCCUACCUGAGCCUACUGUUGUACGUGGCCUCUGGGUAGCUGUAGUUGUUUCAGAGCAAAAGGAAGCAUGAAAAUGAAGCAUUUUUAGAAAAUAUGUACAGGAAGAACAUACUACAUGAAGCCUAGUAAGUUUUCAAGGGAGUGAUAUUUCCAAAGAAACUGUAACUUUGGAGUAUAUACACUUGUGACCGUCACAACUGUCCCCCCAGUACAAAAGAGAAGCAAGCUGAGAGAACUGUGCAGCCCCUGAGAAAGUCGUUCUCUCCAGGGCCCAAGUCAGGUGUGGGCCAUGGAGGAAAAUCGAUAAGGAAGAAGCUUGCGGAGGGCUGAUCCAGAACAGUCGAAAAUAAUGGACAAAAAUAUUUCUCCCACUGAACAGCAUCAAGGUUAAUUCAAGGACUUUUCCCACUGCCAGGGCAGGGCGUCUUCUCAGUGCUUGUUAUUGCUAUGCGUCUCUCCUUCCUCUCCUUCUGAAAAGAUGUUUGAACAUUUUGGUAAGUCAUUCUACUCCUCUUGUCUUACCAUUGUUUAAGGGGUGAUUGUGUUUAUGGGCUAGAUAAUUGGUCUUAUACUGGGCCAUGAGGAAUUGCAUCUAGUUCAAUGGAGAGCCUGGUGCUCAUGUAGGACUUUGGGGUGGUGGCAUCCACAGUGGAACUCUGGAUGAUCCCUCUGGGGAAAUGCGUGAAUUUGCUUUACCUGUGGGGGAAGUGGGUAAGGACAUUUGGAUGGAAAGAUUGCAGAAGAGAUUGCUCAUUUCCAUCCAAAUCCAUUCUUUCUUCUUUUGGACACAAAGGUGGGCAUUUUUCUCAGCUCCCUCAGAGUGAGGUGUGGCCUUGUGACUAAGUUAUCUGCUGGGCAGAGUGACUGGAAAUGAUGACUGUCACUUCCAGGCCUGGCCCAUGACUGUCCCUUCAAGUUUUUCAUAAUCUUUCUCAUUAUGCUCGAUGGAUGCAGUUAAUGAUGAGAUCCUCAAAGAUGGUUCGGUCACAAGACAGAAGGAGCCUGGGUCUCUCAGUAACCACCUGGAGCAAAGCAGCCCUAUUGACUUGGAUCCUGCACCAGGAACAUAACAAUAGCAAGGAAUACCUGCCAGUGCCUUAAUCCCUUAAGUGUUCGUAUCUAUUUAUUAUAGCAGGUUGGCAUACCCUAACGGUGGCUUUUAAAUAAAUGUCAUUAAUUAUAAACCUACACACUGCUUAUAUUACUUAUUAUUUUAUAGUCUUCACUUACUUCAUUACAAACAAUUUGUCUCUGAGAAAAUUGAUUAAUA